GAGCAGCACGCCCACGCAGCUACAAGCCUGCAGACGAUUGCCUUUCUACACACCUGGAAUUGAUGAGGGCGAGCUGCUUAAACGACCAGUUGGACCCAGGGAUCCUCGCAGGAACUUAGUUCUCAUAUGGUGAACCCAGUUUUUCAUGGUGUACUUGUUUUCCUUCCGUUGCCAUGGAUUUCGACUGCCUCCCUCGUUCCUCGACUCCUCGCUCGCCCCACGACUCUGACGCCUCUCUCUCGCCCCGCAUCUCCUGCAUGCCCCAUGGACUGCCUCGUUCCUUCGCUCCUCAUUCAACAUUUACGGCCCUGCGAUGAGGUGGCGACUGGUCCAGGGUGUACCCCGCCUUCCGCCCGAUUGUAGCUGAGAUAGGCGCUAGCGCCCCCCGCGACCCCAAAAGGGAAUAAGCGGUAGGAAAUGGAUGGAUGGAUGUAUAUUUAUAUAUGUUUACUAUAUAUAAAAUAAAUCUUUGGACAUCACAACCUCCUGGUGUCAGUCUGCCGUCAUCUCCCUUGCAAACCAUAACAAUGUCAUCUUCAAAUUGUUGUGAAUUAUACUAUUAUAUUAUUGUGAAUUAGGAUGUAUUUGUAUUUGGUCACAUAAUCCUUUAGAGGAUUAUCCUAUUAAGGAAAUAUGCCCUCAGAUAGCUGCGGGUGUCCUUUCCCCCAGGACAAUUGGAAUUGGAUUUUAGGAGCGAUUAUGAAAACAUUAGCAACAUCUGGUAGAAAGCCCCCACAGGUAGGAGAAGAGCAGGCGUCGGGAACCUUUUUGGCGGAGAGAGCCAUGAAAGCCAAAUAUUUUAGAUUUUAUUUCUGUGAGAGCCAUAUCAUAUUUUUUAACACUGAAUACAGCUAAAUGCGGGCAUUUUUAAGUAAGACCAACAUUUUUAAAGUAUAAUAAGUCUCUUAUUCUUUUUAAUAACAGCUAAAGUAGUGUAAAAUGUCUGUCCUAGGGCUACCUCUAAACUGAAUGCAUUGGGAGGGACACGACAUAAGUGGACAAGUCACCCUGACCAAGUUGGUGGGGUGACAUUUGAACAUUGGACAGUUACAUAAGUUGUCAUGCUACGAAUCAGGCCAUCCUGGAGCGUAUAAAUAAGAAGGGAAGACCAAGCCUGGUGUGCGCUCCUUUUAAUUCCUUUCACGAGGGUUCACCAUCUUUCGUCUCCGGAGACGUUGUCUGUGUAAACAUAUCGAUUCAAUCCAACUUUGUCUGAUUGUGAGUAAUUAAAACUGUUGUAACAAACACUCUGUUGUUCCUGUUUAAGAUUCGGACUUUUCGACCACAUAAAAUUGGCGUCCCCGUACAGGCCACCACAUA